rnacentral:rRNA from 1 species
AGUGAACGCUGGCGGCAGGCCUAACACAUGCAAGUCGAGCGGCAGCGUGGGGGCAACCCUGGCGGCGAGGGGCGGCCGGGUGGGGAAUUCGUCGGAAUCUGGCUUUUUGUGGGGGAUAAGGUAGGGAAACUUAAGCUAAUCCCGGGUACGUCGUACGGGAGCAAGUGGGGGACCGCAAGGUCUCACGCCGAGAGAGGAGGCGACGACAGAUGAGAUAGUGCGUGGGGUAAAGGCACACAAAGGAGACGAUCGGUAGCUGGUCUGGAGGGAUGAUCAGCCACACGGGGACUGAGACACGGCACACACUCCUACAGGAGGCAGCAGUGGAGAAUAUUAGACAAUGGAGGCAAGCCUGAUCCAGCCAUGCCGCGUGUGUGAAGAAGGCCUUCGGGUUGGAAAGCACUUUUGUCCGGAAAGAAAUCCCGGGAGCUAAUACCUGCGGAGGAUGACGGUACCGGAAGAAUAAGCACCGGCUAACUUCGUG